GAUGAACGCUGGCGGCGUGCCUAAUACAUGCAAGUCGAGCGAACAGACGAGGAGCUUGCUCCUUCGACGUUAGCGGCGGACGGGUGAGUAACACGUAGGUAACCUACUUAUAAGACUGGGAUAACUUCGGGAAACCGGAGCUAAUACCGGAUAAUAUUUCGAACCGCAUGGUUCGAUAGUGAAAGAUGGCUUUGCUAUCACUUAUAGAUGGACCUGCGCCGUAUUAGCUAGUUGGUAAGGUAACGGCUUACCAAGGCAACGAUACGUAGCCGACCUGAGAGGGUGAUCGGCCACACUGGAACUGAGACACGGUCCAGACUCCUACGGGAGGCAGCAGUAGGGAAUCUUCCGCAAUGGGCGAAAGCCUGACGGAGCAACGCCGCGUGAGUGAUGAAGGUCUUCGGAUCGUAAAACUCUGUUAUUAGGGAAGAACAAACGUGUAAGUAACUGUGCACGUCUUGACGGUACCUAAUCAGAAAGCCACGGCUAACUACGUG
rnacentral:rRNA from 1 species